GGGACAGUGUGCUCUGUGCACACUUACAUGAAGGUGUGUGUCGCCACACCGGGCUAGACCCUGUCCUCUUAAUGACUGCAUAGUCCUUGUAACCUCCAUUUGCAUUCCUAGAGCAUAGCAUUUGUUCCAAAAAUAUUUAUUGAGUGUCUGUUCUGGGCUUGAACACGAGUAGGAGGAUUUAAAAGUGAAUAGCAUAUUGCGUCUGCCCUUGGGGACAGAGACAGAAACAUGAAAACAUGAAAUUGUCCUUCAACACAAGAAGUGCUGUAAUAGAGGCAUGAAUAACGCGGUGGGAAACAAGGAGGGAGGUCAUGCUGCCUGAAGCAAAUGUCACCGAAGGGCAGACAUCAAGAAGGCAGGACAUUCCAGGCAGAGGGAAUAGCAUGUGUGCAGGGAUGAAAGCUCACAAGAAAGAGAAACAUGAGUCAGGUGCGGUGGCUGAUGCCUGUAAUCCCAGCACUUUGGGAGGCUGAGGCGGGCAGAUUACGAGGUCAGGAGUUCGAGACCAGCCUGGCCAACAUGGUGAAACCCCGUCUCUACUACAAAAAUACAAAAAUUAGCCGGAUGUGGUGGUGUGCGCCUGUAAUCCCAGCUACUCAGGAGGCUGAGGAAGGAGAAUCACUUGAACCCAGGAGGUGGAGGUUGCCGUGAGCUGAGACCGCACCAUUUCACUCCAGCCUGGGCAACAGAGAGAGACUCCGUCUCAAAAAAAAAAAAAAAGAAAAGAAAAAGAAA
rnacentral:lncRNA from 10 species